rnacentral:rRNA from 1 species
UACGAGAGGCCCAAACGUUAUUCGGAAUUACUGGGCUUAAAGAGUCCGUAGGCGGCGCAGAAAGUAGGGUGUGAAAGCCCUCGGCUUAACCGAGGAAUUGCGCUCUAAACUACUGUGCUUGAGGAACCUAGAGGUGAGCGGAACUGAUGGUGGAGCGGUGAAAUGCGUUGAUAUCAUCAGGAACACCGGAGGCGAAGGCGGCUCACUGGGGGGUUAUCUGACGCUGAGGGACGAAAGCCAGGGGAGCGAACGGG